CACGUAGGCGGACUGUUAAGUCGGGGGUGAAAUCCUGGGGCUCAACCUCAGAAUUGCCUCCGAUACUGGCAGUCUCGAGUGCGGGAGAGGUGAGUGGAAUUCCCAGUGUAGAGGUGAAAUUCGUAGAUAUCGGGAAGAACACCAGUGGCGAAGGCGGCUCACUGGCCCGUAACUGACGCUGAGGUGCGAAAGCGUGGGGAGCAAACA
rnacentral:rRNA from 1 species